CCCUGUAAGCAACUGCUAGCCGUAGGGAAUGUGGCGGACUCCGAUGGCCACGGAGUGAAAAGCAGCCAGCAUUAACAUGUGGUCCCCUCCCAUCUCCCCUUAGCAGGGUGAGCGAGGGCGCCCUGUUAGCACGCCCAGCUGGAAACCACCUGGCACCGAACACAAAUCACCUUGAUCCUGCCACCUGAUCCGCCAACUCAGAGCCUAAGGGAUCAGGUGCCACAGUAUAGGCCAGCAAAGGCAGGGUGAGUUUAGUAUCACUCCUUUUUUACACUAUGAACUCUCGACUCGGUUUCGUAACAAGUACAUGUUUGUGUGAGUCUAACUCGGGUGUGUGUCGCUGGCUACUACAGCUAUCUGAUGGCUCAGGGCCUUAAGAGAAGUUAAGGCAUUGGUGACCUUAGGGCCCGUCUGCAAAUAUGUCCCAUCAAGGUCCAGCUCCUGCACGGUGCGGCGGUGGCUCUUCUCUGCCAGCAGCAGCUGCCCCAGCAUGCGACGGGGCUUCUGGUAGGGUUCCUGGUUCGGAGGGCCCUUGGACCCGGAGAUCAGGCCAUCCCUCUGCAGGGCCUGCAGGGCCGAGCCAGGCUCCGGGGAGCCGUAGUGGGACUCCAGUCCUUCGGGACGGGCCUGCUUGGACUUCAUGAUGCGGAUGAUGUCUUCACGGGCCUAAAAGCACAAGGCUCAUUGAUUAGAGCACAGAAGAUGUAGAGAUACGUUGAUAAGAUGAUGUAUAUAACACAACAGGGGGGUUAUGUUAUAUAUAGUGUACCUAAAGCUGUAUGAACACACAUAGAUGUGCUGCGUAAAUGUUAUGCAUCAAUAUUUAUCUAUAUAUUUAUAGAUCUUUAUGUAUUUAUUUAUAAGUAUGCAAUACUUGAAAUAAUACGUUUUGUAUAUGUCAUUACCGUUUUCAACCACAAGGUAGGGCUAUAGUGCAAUUAAAUUCGAGGCAAGGAAAAAACGAGUUUUUUCAUACACAGCAUAACAUCAUACCAACACACCAUACCAGAGGCCUUUUUAAUAUCAACGCUGCAGUUGUUAGCAGUAAGCCGUUAAUAGCAGCUUGAAGACGUACUGUGUAGAAAUGUUAACGGUUGAAAUGUUACUCUUUUUGGUAAGUCAUUCACCCGAAAGGUCCAAUAGCCUAGGGUCAAAUCCUAAAAAAGAAAUGUAAUAAAGAUAAUAUUGUGAAAUAAACUCCUAAUCUACCAGG